CCUACGGGUGGCAGCAGUGAGGAAUAUUGGUCAAUGGACGCAAGUCUGAACCAGCCAUGCCGCGUGCAGGAAGACGGCUCUAUGAGUUGUAAACUGCUUUUGUACGAGGGUAAACGCAGAUACGCGUAUCUGUCUGAAAGUAUCGUACGAAUAAGGAUCGGCUAACCCCGUGCCAGCAGCCGCGGUAAUACGGAGGAUUCAAGCGUUAUCCGGAUUUAUUGGGUUUAAAGGGUGCGUAGGCGGUCGGAUAAGUUAGAGUUGAAAUCCUGAGGCUCAACUUCGGAAUUGCCUCUGAUACUGUUCGGCUAGAGAGUAGUUGCGGUAGGCGGAAUGUAUGGUGUAGCGGUGAAAUGCUUAGAGAUCAUACAGAACACCGAUUGCGAAGGCAGCUUACCAAGCUACUUCUGACGUUGAGGCACGAAAGCGUGGGGAGUAAACAGGAUUAGAUACCCUAGUAGUC
rnacentral:rRNA from 1 species